rnacentral:rRNA from 1 species
UAUAUUUGAGAGUUUGAUCCUGGCUCAGGAUGAACGCUGGCGGCGUGCCUAACACAUGCAAGUCGAGCGAACCCUUCGGGGUGAGCGGCGGACGGGUGAGUAACGCGUGGGUAACCUGCCCUGUACACACGGAUAACAUACCGAAAGGUAUGCUAAUACGGGAUAACAUAUGAAAGUCACAUGGCUUUUGUAUCAAAGCUCUGGCGGUACAGGAUGGACCCGCGUCUGAUUAGCUAGUUGGUAAGGUAACGGCUUACCAAGGCAACGAUCAGUAGCCGACCUGAGAGGGUGAUCGGCCACAUUGGAACUGAGACACG